rnacentral:rRNA from 1 species
AGAGGAUUAUUACCGGAUACGUUAUCUUUCAUAAGGUGAGNUUAAGAAACGAUGGACUCUAUUUAUAAGCUAUCGCAUUUGGAGGGGUCUGCGUACCAUUAGUUUGUUGCGGGGGUAAUGGCCUACCAAGACUUCGAUGGUUAGCGGGUCUGAGAGGAUGAUCCGUCACACUGAGCACUGAAACACGGGCCAGACUCCUACGGGAGGCAGCAGUGAGGAAUAUUGCGCAAUGGGGGAAAUCCUGACGCAGCGACGCCGCGUGGGUGAGGAAGGCUUUCGGGUCGUAAAGCCCUGUCAGAAGGGAAGAAAUGUUUAUAGGUUAAUAUCUUAUACACUUGACGGUACCUUCAAAGGAAGCACCGGCUAACUCCGUGCCAGCAGCCGCGGUAAUACGGAGGGUGCAAACGUUGUUCGGAAUCACUGGGCGUAAAGGGCGCGCAGGCGGUUUGAUUAGUCAGAUGUGAAAGCCCACGGCUUAACCGUGGAAGUGCAUUUGAAACUGUCAGACUUGAGUACCAGAGGGGGUAGUGGAAUUCCCGGUGUAGAGGUGAAAUUCGUAGAUAUCGGGAGGAAUACCGGUGGCGAAGGCGACUACCUGGCUGGAUACUGACGUUGAGGCGCGAAAGCGUGGGGAGCAAACAGGAUUAGAUACCCUGGUAGUCCACGCCGUAAACGAUGUGAACUAGGUGUAGGGGGUGUUGAUCCCUUAUGUGCCG